rnacentral:tRNA from 1 species
GGGCCGAUAGUCUAGCUGGUUAGGAUGUCGCCUUGACGUGGCGAAGAUCGCUGGUUCAAAUCCGGCUCGGCCCACCA